UAGCUCUGUUCUUCCUUCAAAUCGUAAAAAUCUUUCGCCUUUUACUAAAGAUUUCCGUGGAGGAGGAAAAAUAAUGAGCAUGUAGAAAUUUUUCGAUGCCUCGUUUAUACGGGGCU